GGUUUCUUGAUUAUAUUUAGGAAAUUUAACCUGCCCACUGAAGAAUUUUUGAAGGGCCGCAGUAUUUUGACUGUGCAAAGGUAGCAUAAUCAUUAGUCUUUUAAUUAAGGGCUGGUAUGAAUGGUUGGACGAGGUAAAUUCUGUUUUAUAUUAAUUGAAAUUGAAUUUAGAUUUUAAGUUAAAAUACUUAAAUGUUAUUAAGGGACGAGAAGACCCUAUAGAGUUUAAUAAGUUAAAUAAUUAAUUGAGUUAAUAAUUAAUUUUUAGUUUUUAUGAAUCUUAUUUAAUUGGGGUGAUUAAAAGAUAUAAAUAACUCUUUUUUGAUAUUAAUAUUAUUAAUAGCUUUAUGAUCCAUUAAUAAUGAUUAAAAGAUUAAAUUACCUUAGGGAUAACAGCAUAAUUUUUUUUGAGAGUUCAUAUCGAAAAAAGAGAUUGUGACCUCGAUGUUGGAUUAAGAUUAGUUUUGGGUGCAGAUGUUCAUAAACUAGGUCUGUUCGACCUUGAAAAUCUUACA
rnacentral:rRNA from 1 species